AACGAACGCUGGCGGCAUGCCUAACACAUGCAAGUCGAACGAGACCAUCGGGUCUUUUGGCGCACGGGUUCGUCGCGCGACGGAACCUUCCCUCAUGUUUGGCAUAACUCCCCGACAGGGGUGCUAACACCGGACAAUAUCUUCUGACCAAAGAUUUAUCGCCUUUGGUUGUGCCCGCGUUGGAUUCGCUUGUUGGUAGGGUAAUAGCCUACUACGGCGCCGAUCCAUAACUGGUCAGAGAGGCUGAUCAGCCACACUGGGACUGGGAGCCGGCCCAGAAUCCUACGGGAGGGAGCAGUGGGGGAUAUUGGAACAUGGGCGAAAGCAUGAACCAGCAAUGACGGGUGAGUGAUGAAGGCCUUAGGGUUGUAAAGUUCUUGUAACCGGGAUGAUAAUGACAGUACCGGAAGAAUAAGCUCCGGCUAACUACGUG
rnacentral:rRNA from 1 species